rnacentral:rRNA from 1 species
CCUACGGGAGGCAGCAGUGAGGAAUAUUGGUCAAUGGCCGGAAGGCUGAACCAGCCAUGCCGCGUGAAGGUCAGUGCCCUAUGGGCGUUAAACUUCUUUUGUGCGGGAGCAAUAAUGGUCACGUGUGGCCAGACGAUAGUACCUUACUAAUAAGCAUCGGCUAACUCCGUGACAGCAGCCGCGGUAAUACCGGGGAUGCAAGCGUUGUCCGGAUUUUUUGGGUUUAAAGGGUGCGUAGGCUGGGAGGUAAGUCAGCGGUGAAAUGCCCUCGCUCAACGGGGUGAAGUGCCAUUGAUACUGGCUAGCUGGAAUGCGGAUGCCGUGAGAGGAAUGUGUGGUGUAGCGGUGAAAUGCAUAGAUAUCACACAGAACACCGAUUGCGAAGGCAUCUCACGAAUCCGCGAUUGACGCUGAUGCACGAAAGCGUGGGUAUCAAACAGGAUUAGAUACCCUUGUAGUC